AAGCUAGUAAGAUCCCUGAAAGAUGAUCAGGUUGAUAGGUUCGAGGUGGAAGCAUGGUGACAUGUGGAGCUGACGAAUACUAAUAGAUCGAGGACUUAACCAUAUAA
rnacentral:rRNA from 1 species